GAUGAACGCUGGCGGCGUGCCUAAUACAUGCAAGUCGAGCGAACGGACGAGAAGCUUGCUUCUCUGAUGUUAGCGGCGGACUGGUGAGUAACACGUGGAUAACCUACCUAUAAGACUGGGAUAACUUCGGGAAACCGGAGCUAAUACCGGAUGAUAUUUUGAACCGCAUGGUUCAAAAGUGAAAGACGGUCUUGCUGUCACUUCUAGAUGGAUCCGCGCUGCAUUAGCUAGUUGGUAAGGUAACGGCUUACCAAGGCAACGCUGCAUAGCCGACCUGAGAGGGUGAUAGGCCACACUGGAACUGAGACACGGUCCAGACUCCUACGGGAGGCAGCAGUAGGGAAUCGUCCGCAGUGGGCGAAAGCCUGACGGAGCAACGCCGCGUGAGUGAUGAAGGUCUUCGGAUCGUAAAACUCUGUUAUUAGGGAAGAACAUAUGUGUAAGUAACUGUGCACAUCGUGACGGUACCUAAUCAGAAAGCCACGGCUAACUACGUG
rnacentral:rRNA from 1 species